GAGGGUACAGCUCAGUGGUAGAGCAUGUGCUUAGCAUGCACAAGGUCCUGGGUUCAAUCCCCUGUACUUCCA
rnacentral:tRNA from 1 species